rnacentral:miRNA from 1 species
GGCAAGUCAUCUGGGGCUACG